GAUGAACGCUGACAGAAUGCUUAACACAUGCAAGUCAACUUGAAUUUGGGUUUUUAACUUAGGUUUGGGUGGCGGACGGGUGAGUAACGCGUAAAGAACUUGCCUCACAGCUAGGGACAACAUUUGGAAACGAAUGCUAAUACCUAAUAUUAUGAUAAUAGGGCAUCCUAUAAUUAUGAAAGCUAUAAGCGCUGUGAGAGAGCUUUGCGUCCCAUUAGCUAGUUGGAGAGGUAACGGCUCACCAAGGCGAUGAUGGGUAGCCGGCCUGAGAGGGUGAUCGGCCACAAGGGGACUGAGACACGGCCCUUACUCAUACGGGAGGCAGCAGUGGGGAAUAUUGGACAAUGGACCAAGAGUAUGAUCCAGCAAUUCUGUGUGCACGAUGAAGUUUUUCGGAAUGUAAAGUGCUUUCAGUUGGGAAGAAAGAAAUGACGGUACCAACAGAAGAAGUGACGGCUAAAUACGUG
rnacentral:rRNA from 1 species